CCUACGGGUGACUGCAGUGGGGAAUUUUGGGCAAUGGAGGCAACUCUGACCCAGCAACGCCGCGUGAAUGAGGAGGGUCUUCGGAUGGUAAAGUUCUUUUCUAAGGGAAGAAGAAAGUGACGGUACCUUAGGAAUAAGCCGCGACUAACUACGUGCCAGCAGCCGCGGUAAUACGUAGGGGGCAAGCGUUAUCCGGAAUGAGUGGGCGUAAAGGGUGCGUAGGUGGUUUGACAAGUUAGUUGAGCAACUCCGGAGCUCAACUUCUGAACUACAACUAAAACUGUUGGACUUGAGUGCGGGAGAGGCAAUCGGAAUUCCUAGUGUAGCGGUGGAAUGCUUAGAUAUUAGGAGGAACAUCAGUGGCGAAGGCGGAUUGCUAGACUGUAACUGACACUGAGGCACGAAAGCGUGGGGAGCAAACAGGAUUAGAUACCCGAGUAGUC
rnacentral:rRNA from 1 species